UCUCUGGUGGCUCAGAUGGUAGAGAAUCCACCUGCAAUGUGGGAGACCUGGAUUCCAUCCCCAGGUUGAGAA
rnacentral:tRNA from 1 species